CCAAUCAGACAUACCACUGUGAAUGAGCCCGAUCUCAUCUGAUGUCAGAAGACAAGCAGGGUCAGGCCUGGUUAGUGCUUGGA
rnacentral:rRNA from 1 species